rnacentral:rRNA from 1 species
CCUACGGGAGGCAGCAGUAGGGAAUCUUCCGCAAUGGACGAAAGUCUGACGGAGCAACGCCGCGUGAACGAUGAAGGCCUUCGGGUCGUAAAGUUCUGUUGUUAGGGAAGAACAAGUGCUAGUUAAAUAAGCUGGCACCUUGACGGUACCUAACCAGAAAGCCACGGCUAACUACGUGCCAGCAGCCGCGGUAAUACGUAGGUGGCAAGCGUUGUCCGGAAUUAUUGGGCGUAAAGCGCGCGCAGGCGGUUUCUUAAGUCUGAUGUGAAAGCCCCCGGCUCAACCGGGGAGGUCAUUGGAAACUGGGAAACUUGAGUGCAGAAGAGGAAAGUGGAAUUCCAAGUGUAGCGGUGAAAUGCGUAGAGAUUUGGAGGAACACCAGUGGCGAAGGCGACUUUCUGGUCUGUAACUGACGCUGAGGCGCGAAAGCGUGGGGAGCAAACAGGAUUAGAUACCCUGGUAGUCCACGCUGUAAACGAUGAGUGCUAAGUGUUAGAGGGUUUUCCGCCCUUUUAGUGCUAGAAGUUAACGCAUUAAGCACUCCGCCUGGGGGAUACGGUCGCAAGACUGAAAACCUCAAAGGAUUGACGGCUGAGAGAGCGACGACGACGACGAGGGAGGAGG